rnacentral:rRNA from 1 species
GACGAACGCUGGCGGCGUGCCUAAUACAUGCAAGUAGAACGCUGAAGAGAGGAGCUUGCUCUUCUUGGAUGAGUUGCGAACGGGUGAGUAACGCGUAGGUAACCUGCCUUGUAGCGGGGGCUAACUAUUGGAAACGAUAGCUAAUACCGCAUAACAAUGGAUGACACAUGUCAUUUAUUUGAAAGGGGCAAUUGCUCCACUACAAGAUGGACCUGCGUUGUAUUAGCUAGUAGGUGAGGUAAUGGCUCACCUAGGCGACGAUACAUAGCCGACCUGAGAGGGUGAUCGGCCACACUGGGACUGAGACACGGCCCAGACUCCUACGGGAGGCAGCAGUAGGGAAUCUUCGGCAAUGGGGGCAACCCUGACCGAGCAACGCCGCGUGAGUGAAGAAGGUUUUCGGAUCGUAAAGCUCUGUUGUAAGUCAAGAACGGGUGUGAGAGUGGAAAGUUCACACUGUGACGGUAGCUUACCAGAAAGGGACGGCUAACUACGUG